UGGGGAAUUUUGGACAAUGGGGGCAACCCUGAUCCAGCCAUGCCGCGUGUGUGAAGAAGGCCUUCGGGUUGUAAAGCACUUUCGGCCGGAACGAAAUCGCGCGAUCUAAUAAGUCGCGUGGAUGACGGUACCGGAAGAAGAAGCACCGGCUAACUACGUGCCAGCAGCCGCGGUAAUACGUAGGGUGCGAGCGUUAAUCGGAAUUACUGGGCGUAAAGUGUGCGCAGGUGGCCGCGCAAGUCGAGUGUGAAAUCCCCGAGCUUAACUUGGGAAUUGCGCUCGAAACUACGUGGCUCGAGUGUGGCAGAGGAAGGUGGAAUUCCACGUGUAGCGGUGAAAUGCGUAGAGAUGUGGAGGAACACCGAUGGCGAAGGCAGCCUUCUGGGCCAACACUGACGCUCAUGCACGAAAGCGUGGGGAGCAAACAGG
rnacentral:rRNA from 1 species